rnacentral:rRNA from 1 species
ACGCUCGACACCUACGAGGCAGCAGUAGGGAAUCUUCCACAAUGGACGCAAGUCUGAUGGAGCAACGCCGCGUGAGUGAAGAAGGUUUUCGGAUCGUAAAGCUCUGUUGUUGGUGAAGAAGGAUAGAGGUAGUAACUGGCCUUUAUUUGACGGUAAUCAACCAGAAAGUCACGGCUAACUACGUGCCAGCAGCUGCGGUAAUCUGAGCGGGCUGGCAAGGC